UUAUAACUUGAAACAAGAGGCUGUCACAACGACAGCAAACCGGAUUUAUUAAUAUUUAUUUGUGUCCUGGCAAUAUCACAAGAACCAUUACUGAUGAAUGGUGAAAGUGAAAAUCGUCAAUAUCAAAUUUGACCUCCAUUUUGUCAUCAGUAUCAACUUCUUAACAUUUGAAAAGCUUAGAUUGAAUGGUUCAUGAGUAAAUGCAACAACGUGAAUGGAAACGCCAUUUCACAAUCUUUCAAGAACCAUAAC
rnacentral:lncRNA from 1 species